AUUGAACGCUGGCGGCAUGCCUUACACAUGCAAGUCGAACGGUAACAGGUUAAGCUGACGAGUGGCGAACGGGUGAGCAAUGUAUCGGAACGUGCCCAGUCGUGGGGGAUAACUGCUCGAAAGAGCAGCUAAUACCGCAUACGACCUGGGGGUGAAAGCGGGGGAUCGCAAGACCUCGCGCGAUUGGAGCGGCCGAUAUCAGAUUAGGUAGUUGGUGAGGUAAAGGCUCACCAAGCCGACGAUCUGUAGCUGGUCUGAGAGGACGACCAGCCACACUGGGACUGAGACACGGCCCAGACUCCUACGGGAGGCAGCAGUGGGGAAUUUUGGACAAUGGGCGCAAGCCUGAUCCAGCCAUGCCGCGUGCGGGAAGAAGGCCUUCGGGUUGUAAACCGCUUUUGUCAGGGAAGAAAAGGUUCUGGCUAAUACCUGGGACUCAUGACGGUACCUGAAGAAUAAGCACCGGCUAACUACGUG
rnacentral:rRNA from 1 species